rnacentral:misc_RNA from 1 species
UUGUAUCCUUGACUAAAAAUGGAUUUUGUAGGAGAACACUACUAUAACUACACAGAACAUUAUUAUAAACUAAACAGAAUUCUUUUAGUAUGUGUCGGCUUGUGGCCUUACGAUACUUCAUUCUUGAAGAAGAUCCAAAUUAUUUUUUUUGAAGCAUUAUUCAUGUCAUUCUUAUUAUGUCAGCUCAACGUAUUUCUGUUGAAAAACUGCAGUGCCGAACUUGUCAUGAAAGUACUCAUGUUUCUUUUUAUUACUCUUUUUUUUACUGUACAAUACAAUGCAGGAGUGCUACUCACUGAUACCUUCAAGUACAUCUUCAGUAGGCUUCGUUACGAUUGGAAAAUGUUGAAAAAUCAGACGGAAUUCGACAUCAUACAAAAGUAUGCAGACAGGACAAGAUUCCAUACGACCCUUUUUACACUUUUAGCUACCUCUGUGUGCCUGGGAAUAGUCGUAUUAUGUUCUGUGCCAUCUAUACUUGAUAUAAUUAUACCACUAAAUGAAUCACGACCGUCAUGGUUACCAAUUGUAGCGGAAUACUUUGUUGACCAAGAAAGAUAUUUCUAUGUUAUUGUGAUACAUAUUUUCAUAGUCUUAUAUGCUGGCUGUAUGGUACUUGUAGCCAGUGGAGGAAUGAUUCUAGGAUAUGUAAUGCAUAAUUGCGCCAUCUUUAAAAUUGCAAUCUAUCGAAUAGAACACAUAUUUGAUGAAAAAAUAUUACAAAUGUCAAAACAUGUUAGAGAAUAUGUACUAUAUGAGAGAUUAAUUCAUGCAGUACAUCUUCAUCGCAGAGCUGUGGAUUUGGCCAAUAUCUUGACGAACAGUUUGGCGACAGUAUAUUUCAUAUUACUAAUAUGUGGAGUAGCUUCUACGAGUUUCAGUGUUUUUCAUCUCUUUCAUGUACUGACACCCUUAAACGACAUACUAGAACUAUUAGCUUGUUGCGGUGUUAUACUUUCUCAGUUGUAUUACGUAUUUUUGGGAAAUUACAUUGGACAAGAUAUCAUAGACCUCAGCACAAAUGUUUUUCGAACAACAUAUAAUACCGAAUGGUACACCGCACCACUGUGGUUACAAAAAUUGAUAUUGUUUAUAAUGCAGAGAAGCAGCAUCAAGAGUACUUUUACAGCUGGAGGGAUUUUUGAUGCAUCGUUAGAAGGUUUUGCCAAGCUCAUGAGCAUGUCGAUGUCCUAUGUUAUGUUUCUGCGUUCUACGUGAACUCAAUAAGAAAAAUGAAUACUCAUCAUAUUUAUAAUCAUCAUUUGUCCGAAGUUGGCUUAUAAAUAGGAAAUAGCGUAGACACGUGCAAGAAUACAAUAUUAGUGGAAAUAUUCUGGUACUGGUAAUUAGUACUGUGCAAUGCAAUGGACCGUAGUAUUUUUGUACUCGAAAAAGUGUAAGUUUUUAUGUCUAAUUCAUAAUAUGUAUUAUGCAUCGAACGCAGAUAUAAUUAUAUACUUGGACUUGUCCAAAUAUGAGAUAAUUGGAUAUACAAAAAUAAAAUCAUUAUAUACCUCACUUCUAUUAAGAAUAAAGAUUGAUAUUUUUAUGCAUAAGUGUAUAAAUAUGAUGAUAUACCAUACAGGGCAGGUGCAAAUGUGAAAACUUCAUCUAUUUAUAAUAUAAGGAACAGUAAAAGCUUAUGUGUUGUGCAACAGAAAUGUAAUUAUAGCACCGUUGGAUGAUUUUACUUGGAUCGAUAGCCAUGUUGAACAUAACCGUUCAUGUUGAACAUGAUUCAAACAGCGACUUAAAAUAACUGUUAAAUUUAUGACUUUAUUGUUAUAUCUACAAAGUCUGCAUUAUGAGCUUCAAUGUAAUAUUAGGAAUUUUUCUUUCUUAGAUAGCUAGUAUGGCGGUAUUCUAUCUCAUAUACUUUAUUAUGUACGUUAAACUAAAAACAAAUGACAUUUAAAUGGUAAAGCUGCAUUAAUAUAUGUUUAUAAGACGUUUUAUUCACUCUUAUAGAAUAAUAUACAUUUGAGAAAAUA